GGGUCUGAAGCCUCCACAGUUCCACAGGUGAAUCUUCAGAUCUAGAUAAACAGCAUUUUGAAUCGUCAAUGCUAAAAGAAAAAGUCUAGAAAGUAUGGGCCUCCUCAAGAAGUAAGUUAUAAGAGAGGCUUGAAGGAGAAGAGGAUGAACCAAUCCAGAGAGGGAGGAUGCAUGGAAAAAGGAGCAGAGAUAAAGGAGUGAUGAAUAAGUGCUUGGGAGGAGUGAAGGAGACUAAGGUCAAGAGAAGAGAAGAGAAGAGAAGAGAAGAGAAGAGAAGAGAAGAGAAGGCAGAAACUAAAAUGUGUAGGGCCUUAAAGGAAAAGACAAAGAGCUUAAACUUGAUGUGGCAGGUGAGGGGAAGCCAGUGAAGGGAUUUGACAAUGAGCUGUUCAUAGUUGCAGUACCAGGCAAAAAGCAUAUGACUUUAGCAGCA